rnacentral:tRNA from 1 species
AAUUUUGUAGUUUAAAAAAAACAAUGAUUUUGUAAAUCAAUAAUAGAUUUAAUCUUAAAAUUA